UUUUUCUUUUCUUUCUUUUCUUUUUUGGUCAAGAAGCAAAAUUGCAGAAAAAUUAAGUGACCGGGUCAAGAUCACGUAUCUAUUGGAACCAAGAUUGCAGUCACAGCCCUGCAAGGACACUCAGAGACUCCAGGGUGGCUACAACUGGAACCCAAGUGGACGAGUGGAUUGGGAUUUGGAAACUGGGACCAAGUAGGAACUGAGCUAAACUAUGGACUGAAUUCCCUUUCUGAAGGGAUCACCAGACUGAAGAAAUACAAAGUGCGGAGGGAGGCUAAGUCCCAUGUGUUGGGGAGUAAUUUGGAUAUUUGUGAUUCUAUGUGUGAAGUAAAUAAAACCUAAUUCAACUGGUUAGGAAGCAAGAAUUUGACAAUUUCAUGAAUCUAUUGUAAAGUAAGGCCCCUCCAGGCCUCAUCCCGAGGACAUCCUCACAGUUUGUGCUUCCUGAGGUUACAUUUUGGAGGCUACAAAGGAAGCAGAGCCAAUAAACCCAACCUUCUUCCUCCA
rnacentral:lncRNA from 1 species